GCCUGGGUAGCUGAGUUGGCAAAGCAUCAGAUUCUUAACCUGAUGGGCCAGGGUUCAAGCCCCUGUCCAGGCA